UGGGGAAUCUUCCGCAAUGGACGAAAGUCUGACGGAGCAACGCCGCGUGAGUGAAGACGGCCUUCGGGUUGUAAAGCUCUGUGAUCCGGGACGAAAGAGCCUGAGGUGAAUAGCCUAAGGAAGUGACGGUACCGGAAAAGCAAGCCACGGCUAACUACGUGCCAGCAGCCGCGGUAAUACGUAGGUGGCAAGCGUUGUCCGGAAUUAUUGGGCGUAAAGCGCGCGCAGGCGGCUUCCUAAGUCCAUCUUAAAAGUGCGGGGCUUAACCCCGUGAUGGGAUGGAAACUGGGAAGCUGGAGUAUCGGAGAGGAAAGUGGAAUUCCUAGUGUAGCGGUGAAAUGCGUAGAGAUUAGGAAGCACACCGGUGGCGAAGGCGACUUUCUGGACGAAACCUGACGCUGAGGCGCGAAAGCGUGGGGAGCAAACAGG
rnacentral:rRNA from 1 species